CAGUGAAUAUUGAACGAAAUGGAAAGUAGCUUGUGUCUAAACUGCUUGUAAUCAGCAACAACAGAUGUUCUGCAGGCAGAACUUCCUCUGGAUCAUUAUUUCAAUAAUGUUCUAAUGACUUUAAACAUUUCUGCUAAGUUGCUAUUUACAUACUACCUGAGCACAGCGAAACACCGUAACCAAUUUGGUGGAUUCCUCAUGUGACACGGUGGUUGCUCAGAAGCGAGCUCACCCCAAGAACAGGGUCGUCGCCCAGAAAAUCAAGAAUGCUCACUGAAUUGCUAUGGUUACCAGAGAACAAGGAUGCCACAGAUUCCAAUUCCACGGUCAUGAAUGAUCAGUGAACCCCACUGGACAUCUCUACUGUUAAGCAGUAAAUGUCUUGCAAAAGAUACCACAAAGCCAGAGAGCUGAUUGAAUGAAGAAAUAAAACCAGGCUAUAGAAAUCCCAGGAGCUGAGACGUAUUGGAGUUUUCAUUGUUCGAGAUCCCACACAUCACAUCAGUGCAUCCAGAAUGUAGCAAGCCCUGCAGUAUGCUGGGUGCCUCUUCUCGAAGAUUGUUUUAUGUUCCUCGCAUCCGCAGCUGAAUUUUCCCAGCAGGGCCAAUUAAACAGGCAAUUGAUAUCACAAAUUA